UGGGUUAACGGUUUAACCCGAAAUAACCGAACCGAGGAACCCGAGAAUUUCGGUUUUCGGCAGCAUCCGAUUUCAUGAGAGCAAACCGAUCGGUGAAAUUAGUUUGAGAAUUCGGAAUUCGGUUUUGUUCGGUUCGGUAAUCGGAGCCGAUCGGUUUAACCUAGACCGAGAAUCUGCAGUCCUAUAUAAAGAUAACCAUAAGACAUUAACCUAAUUACUAGGGUUUCUUCUUCGUAUUUGCUCUUUGCGACUGCGCCUCUCUCUUGCGAUAGCGAAAGAGAAAUCUUUCUCUGUUUCUUCAACCUAAUCAAUAAUCUUUAAUUCGUCUCUUCUCAUUCAUCAUCUUCCAAGCUUCUUUCAUUCUCUGUAAUCUCAACCGGUGUUAAGACUAACCCUUUGCUCAGAGAUUCAACCCGCAACCUCGACUUUGUUAGGGUUUUGUAGAUGUCUACAGAGCACAAUGAGAACAUUGAGGAGCCGAUGCUUCAACCUGAAAAUGCUGAAGAUGUUCAAGCAGAGAAGAGGCGUAAAACACCUGCACCUGCUGCUUCUGCUUCUGUUAAUCCACAGAGACCACGUAAGAAGUAUGCUAAUAGAGCAGUAGUUUGGCAACAUUUUCUGCUGCUUCUGCUUUAGUACAAGUGGUCGAGUGUUGGACCCUUAUAGGAGUUCUUUAACUCCUUACAUGAUUGAGGUUUUGCUAUGCACCCAACAGUGGCUAAGGUGUUCAUUUAAAUCUGAAGCACAAGUAGCAAACUUAGUGCAAAUGUUGGAAGAAGUUGAGUUUUUUGAAUCUCUUGAUUCUCAGAAUUCAACUCCAGCUCCUCCAUGAAUCUUCAAAGUAUGACAGGUAGUUAAGGUAGGAAGCUGCACUUUUGUUCUUUUUGACGUGGAUAUGCAGCCUUAACAAUGGACGGGAUAGUACUGACUUUGAAGCUUCUUUUUAUCUACUUUUUGAUGCGAUAAGCAUGCUUUUGUAUAACAAACAACUUUGCUAUGAGUUACUAAUUACUCUAGUGUUUGUAUGGUUCUGUAAUAUGGUGAUUUGAUACAAUGCUAGCUUGCUAGCUUAGCAGCUUCUGUAAUGGUCUGUAAUGGUUAUUUUUUGAUGUAUUGUCUGAUAUUUGUGCUU